AAUCAGAAGAGCGAACAACAAUGUGUCCUGGUGAAAAAAACGGAAGGAAGACCUGCAUGCAUCUCUUAUCUCACUUCUACUUUCUUCUUUCUGUGUUUCUGUCCUUCUACUCUCUUCUUCGCAUGUGAUUUUCUCACUUUUUGUCGUUUUGUUCGACUGACGUGAAAGACGAGUAAGAAAAUCGACUCGGCUUCCGACCAAGAAAAGAAAAAAA
rnacentral:ribozyme from 11 species